UAUGGGCGCCGCGGAGCAUGAUGGGAGCUGUAGUCCCGGAAGUGGCUCGGAAGGCGCGUUUGGCCGUGUGGGGAGACACUUGGGGAGCACUUUUGCGUCUGAUUCGUGGCUGCAGGAUUUCCUAUUCCCAAACCUUGGUCAGAUGGAGAAGGAGGCUGUGAGGAAGAGGAAGAUGCCCCAGGACACCCAGGCAUUUUUAUAACCUAAUUUUUAUAUUUAUUUAAAAGAAUUUAUACUUUUUCAGGGACAAAAAACAUUACUGGUCGUUGGUUCUAAGUACCACAAUUCCCUUCAUUAAUUAAUAUAUCACUAUUUCUCCCUCUUUAUGCUAAUUGCACCUAUUUUUAGUCCUUUGAUCAUCUUUUUAAAAAAUUUUCUCAGACAGGGUAGAAGGGACCACUUUGGUGUCCAUGGAGACUUUUCUGAGGAACAUUUGGGGCAGUUUUGGGUCUGGGGAGGGAAUUUAGAGAGAACUUGGGUGUCUGGAGGACGCUAGGGGGAGCUGGGUGGGCACUUGGAGGGGCACUUAGGGAUUCUGUGGUACAAUUAGGAGCCCGGGGGAGCACUUGGGGGUCCAGGGGGGCACUUGGAGGUCAGGGAGGGGAUCCGGAGGCCCUUCGGGGUCCGGGCGGGCACUUGGGGGACUGUAACAGGGAAUCUACGGGCCGCGGGAGAUGAUGGGAGUUGUAGGCGCCGGUAUAAUACGAUUUAAUGGAACCGCGGAGCAUCACGGGAGUUGUAGACGCAGCUUCAAUGGAUUUCGGUGAGGCGCGGGGCAUGACGGGAGAUGCAGUCCCGGCUGGAAGUGGCUCGGGAGGUGAUAACGAUCCUAGGUGAUGCUUAUCAGCCUGAGAGGAAGAGCAGAACAAGGGCCAUCAGGCUAGACAAUGAGAGGAGCCUAAAUCUAAUAUUUUAGGUUCGUUAUUAAAAGAAGUUUUCAUUUCGUGUUUUAAAUUUUUCCCUUCCCAAUACAUUUUUCCCCCAAUAGUACACGGUUUUAAGUUUGCUCUAUUGUAGCAAAGAGGGUUGACUUGAAAAUAAGCUAUAAAAGUUGAUUGCCUCUUCCCCCCAAUCCAGACAGUUUUGUUACACUGUCCGCAGACCGAAAUUGGAGGGACUCCCCUUAUCUCUCUUUUGUUUCGGAGGUGGGUCGUUUGAAUCUUUUGUUCUCUCGAGGUCCGAAAUUGCUUUUCCAUAAUACUUGCUCCUGGGUUGGAGCACCAAACCUUUCCCUUUAAUUUACACAGAUUCAAUUGGGAAUCAUUCGACCAGCAUAACCCUGCGUGCAGUUCCGGAGGACAGUCGAUCAAUCGCUCAGGUCCUGUGGCAGUCCGGCACUGCUCACACUUCCCCGGGGGACUCUCCCCCGGAGGCGCCUCGGGACUCGUUCCCUCGGCCAAGCACAUGGCUAGGUUCAGGAUCAUCAGGAUUCCCCACCAUUGCAUCCCUCUGCCAUGCCCUUCGCCCGUAUAGGAACAUACAGCGGGGAUAGCCAUCUUCUCGGCAGCAGGGACUGUCUUCAGGGGCCCUUGAAGUCCUGAUGGCGUACCUUCUCUUAAAGGUAGCCCACCGAGAUGCUUUGAUCGGGUCAAUCCUACACGGUACUUUUAUUGUUCGGCGGCACUCAAUCACUAGAGGUUCCGCUUUGCAGUCGAGUUUCCCUCUCAGCCCCUUUUGGAAAAAUUGAAACCACUCAGGAGAGUCUAGUUCCAACAAGCCCGCCCGGGUAGCAAGUAUCAGGAAACGAUUGGUCUGAUCUAAUUCCUUUUCUAGGCACUGGUUACACAAACCCCUAGGUUGGUUCCCUCCUAAGCAAUGAGCCACCCAAAUUUGCUUACAAUAAGCACACUCAAAGUGUACAAAUGGAAAACAGUAACAAUCGGAAUUUAUACAACUUAUCUGUCCUUCGCUUGUCAUUUGUGGUGACGCCGAAACUUGAUUUUCAAUUCUCCCGGAGGGGUAGUGACCUUCCACUCAGAAGAAUUGUAAUCCGUGACCUUUUUUGCCCGAGAAGAGUGUGUCCACCCCUUCUCGGCAGUUCGAAUUGCGGUAUCUGUAGUCAGAAGGACGAGAAAUGGACCUUCCCAAUGAGGACUGAGGGGGAGCUCCUUCCACACCUUGAUCAGUACUUUAUCUCCCGGUCGAAUCUGAUGGAUUGGAAAUCCCAAUGUUGUGCUUUGGGGAAUCAAUCCUCUUCUUCUUAACUCCUGUAAGUUUUUAUUGAUAGAAAUAAGAUACGGUUGGAUUCGCACAUCCUCUACUUGAGGAUGGGCUACCGGCAUUCCAUGCUUAUAUGGCAUUCCAUAUAGCAUUUCAAAGGGGGAUAAUCCUGUUCCAGAAUGUGGCAUGGUUCUGAUAUUCAACAAUGCCAGGGGAAGACAUUUGAUCCAGGACAUCUUUGUUUCAAUCAUCAGUUUAGAUAACUGUGAUUUCAAUGUUUGAUUCAUUCUUUCCACUUGCCCCGAACUCUGAGGAUGCCAGGGGGUGUGAUAUUG